rnacentral:rRNA from 1 species
GACGAACGCUGGCGGCGUGCCUAAUACAUGCAAGUUGAGCGAUGAAGCUUGGUGCUUGCCCCAAUUUGAAGAGCAGCGAACGGGUGAGUAACGCGUGGGGAAUCUGCCUUUGAGCGGGGGACAACAUUUGGAAACGAAUGCUAAUACCGCAUAACAACUUUAAACAUAAGUUUUAAGUUUGAAAGAUGCAAUUGCAUCACUCAAAGAUGAUCCCGCGUUGUAUUAGCUAGUUGGUGAGGUAAAGGCCCACCAAGGCGAUGAUACAUAGCCGACCUGAGAGGGUGAUCGGCCACAUUGGGACUGAGACACGGCCCAAACUCCUACGGGAGGCAGCAGUAGGGAAUCUUCGGCAAUGGACGAAAGGCUGACCGAGCAACGCCGGGGGAGUGAAGAAGGUUUUCGGAUCGUAAAACUCUGUUGGUAGAGAAGAACGUUGGUGAGAGUGGAAAGCGCAUCAAGUGACGGUAACUACCCAGAAAGGGACGGCUAACUACGUG